CCUACGGGAGGCUGCAGUGGGGAAUAUUGGACAAUGGGGGCAACCCUGAUCCAGCCAUGCCGCGUGUGUGAAGAAGGCCCUCGGGUUGUAAAGCACUUUCAGUGAGGAAGAACGCCUGGUGGUUAAUACCCAUCAGGAAAGACAUCACUCACAGAAGAAGCACCGGCUAACUCCGUGCCAGCAGCCGCGGUAAUACGGAGGGUGCGAGCGUUAAUCGGAAUUACUGGGCGUAAAGCGCGCGUAGGUGGCUUGAUAAGCCGGUUAUGAAAGCCCCGGGCUCAACCUGGGAACGGCAUCCGGAACUGUCAAGCUAGAGUGCAGGAGAGGAAGGUAGAAUUCCCGGUGUAGCGGUGAAAUGCGUAGAGAUCGGGAGGAAUACCAGUGGCGAAGGCGGCCUUCUGGACUGACACUGACACUGAGGUGCGAAAGCGUGGGUAGCAAACAGGAUUAGAUACCCUAGUAGUC
rnacentral:rRNA from 1 species